UUUAUCAAAGACACAGAGAACUUACUGAGCUGUGGGUUACUAACAGAGUCGGAGAUGAGGUUCCAGUUUCAGCUUGGACGAAACUUUUUAGCAUCACAAGUGAUCAUCCUCUCAUUCAUCAUGAUCCCAGCUACUUUGUCAACCUAAACAAUAUCACAAUCUUUUGUGAAGAGGUAACAGCAGCAGGUGAUGUUCAGAUCAAAUUGUUGAAAUUGUCUCAAACUAGGGUGGAGCGAACAAAUGUGCACAGGUAUAACCGUUCGAAGACAAAGUGGUGUGCCCCUUCAAACAACUGUGUUUACUUUCACACUUUGGUUCCUGUAGCAGGAUUGUAAGAUGGGAAAGACAACCUGAACUUGAUCAGCAAAAACCCACUGAUGCUGUCUUGAUUCUACUACUAGUACUUCUACAUGUUGUAAUCUGAAAGAUGUAUAUACAGAUACUGACUCAAUAUCAAAAAUAUUUUGAUACCUAGAGGUAUAGCCAGCCAUUCAAAGAGUGGAGUCGUGGUUAGGUGAGUUAGAUUUUAACAGAUAGAUCCAAGUUUUAUUACUGUUAUCCUGUUGAUUCUUCUUCUUCUACUAGCUAGUUCUACAAGCUGUAAUCAGAAAGCUCUUAAGAAAUAUAAAUACAAAUUUUGAAUCAUUACAGAU